rnacentral:rRNA from 1 species
UACGAAGGGGGCGAGCGUUGUUCGGAAUUACUGGGCGUAAAGCGCGCGCAGGCGGUCUUCCAAGUCAGUGGUGAAAGCCUGGAGCUCAACUCCAGAACUGCCAUUGAAACUGUUGGACUUGAGUACGAGAGAGGUGAGUGGAAUUCCCAGUGUAGAGGUGAAAUUCGUAGAUAUUGGGAAGAACACCGGUGGCGAAGGCGGCUCACUGGCUCGUAACUGACGCUCAGGCGCGACAGCGUGGGGAUCAAACAGG